UUUGAUCCUGGCUCAGAUUGAACGCUGGCGGUAUGCCUAACACAUGCAAGUCGAACGGUAACAGAGGAAAGCUUGCUUUCUUGCUGACGAGUGGCGGACGGGUGAGUAACGCGUGGGAAUCUACCCAGUAGUUGGGGAUAGCCCGGAGAAAUCCGGAUUAAUACCGAAUACGGUCUACGGACGAAAAGGUGCCUCUUCUUGAAAGCACUUGCUACUGGAUGAGCCCGCGUUAGAUUAGUUUGUUGGUGGGGUAACGGCCUACCAAGACUGCGAUCUAUAGCUGGUUUGAGAGGAUGAUCAGCCACAUUGGGACUGAGACACGGCCCAGACUCCUACGGGAGGCAGCAGUGGGGAAUAUUGGACAAUGGGCGCAAGCCUGAUCCAGCAAUACCGCGUGUGUGAAGAAGGCCUUAGGGUUGUAAAGCACUUUUAUGUAGGAAGAAGUGUUGUGAGUUAAUAGCUCAUGACUUUGACGGUACUACAAGAAUAAGCACCGGCUAACUCCGUGCCAGCAGCCGCGGUAAUA
rnacentral:rRNA from 1 species